GACGUAGGGCGCAAGCGUUGUCCGGAAUUAUUGGGCGUAAAGAGCUCGUAGGCGGUUUGUCGCGUCUGCCGUGAAAGUCCGGGGCUCAACUCCGGAUCUGCGGUGGGUACGGGCAGACUAGAGUGAUGUAGGGGAGACUGGAAUUCCUGGUGUAGCGGUGAAAUGCGUAGAUAUCAGGAAGAACACCCGUGGCUAAGGCGGCUCUCUAGUACGGUACUGACGCUGAGACGCGAAAGCGUGGGGAGCGAACAGG
rnacentral:rRNA from 1 species